GCCAGGUGUGGUGGCGGGCACCUGUAAUCCCAGCUACUCAGGAGGCUGAGGCAGGAGGAUCACUUGAACCCAGGAGACAGAGGUUGCGGUGAGCCGAGAUCGUGCCAUUGCACUUCAGCCUGAGCAACAGAGUGAGACUCUGUCUCUA
rnacentral:SRP_RNA from 2 species